UAAUACGUAGGGGGCAAGCGUUGUCCGGAUUUACUGGGCGUAAAGAGCGUGUAGGCGGCCAAGCAGGUCCGUUGUGAAAACUGGAGGCUUAACCUCCAGACGUCGACGGAAACCGCGUGGCUAGAGUCCGGAAGAGGAGAGUGGAAUUCCUGGUGUAGCGGUGAAAUGCGCAGAUAUCAGGAAGAACACCAAUGGCGAAGGCAGCUCUCUGGGACGGUACU
rnacentral:rRNA from 1 species